AAAAUGUUUUACAAUGUACGGGCCACAAGAGAAAUAUUAAGGGAAUAAAUUCAAACAGUUAGCCAUAUACCGUAAUCAGCAUAUUUUGAAGUAGAUUCGUCUCUCGUUGUCUCUGAGAG